ACGGNUUCGUAGUGACCUGCGGAGGAUCAUUA
rnacentral:rRNA from 1 species